UUAAAUUGAAGAGUUUGAUCAUGGCUCAGAUUGAACGCUGGCGGCAGGCCUAACACAUGCAAGUCGGACGGUAGCACAGAGAGCUUGCUCU
rnacentral:rRNA from 1 species